rnacentral:rRNA from 1 species
UACGUAGGAUCCAAGCGUUGUCCGGAUUUACUGGGUGUAAAGGGUGCGUAGGCGGUUUUGUAAGUCAGUGGUGAAAUACUCUAGCUUAACUAGAGGGGUGCCAAUGAUACUGCGGAACUUGAGUACAGAUGAGGUAGGCGGAAUUGACGGUGUAGCGGUGAAAUGCAUAGAUAUCGUCAAGAACACCGAUAGCGAAGGCAGCUUACUGGGCUGUAACUGACGCUGAUGCACGAAAGUGUGGGGAUCAAACAGG